rnacentral:rRNA from 1 species
GACGAACGCUGGCGGCGUGCUUAACACAUGCGAGUCGAACGGAAAGGCCCUGCUUGCAGGGUACUCGAGUGGCGAACGGGUGAGUAACACGUGGGUGAUCUGCCCUGCACUUCGGGAUAAGCUUGGGAAACUGGGUCUAAUACCGGAUAGGAGCCAUCUUUAGUGUGGUGGUUGGAAAGUUUUUUCGGUGUAGGAUGAGCUCGCGGCCUAUCAGCUUGUUGGUGGGGUAAUGGCCUACCAAGGCGGCGACGGGUAGCCGGCCUGAGAGGGUGUACGGCCACAUUGGGACUGAGAUACGGCCCAGACUCCUACGGGAGGCAGCAGUGGGGAAUAUUGCACAAUGGGCGCAAGCCUGAUGCAGCGACGCCGCGUGGGGGAUGAAGGCCUUCGGGUUGUAAACUCCUUUCGCUAGGGACGAAGCUUUUUUGUGACGGUACCUAGAUAAGAAGCACCGGCUAACUACGUG